AUACGUAGGGUGCAAGCGUUAAUCGGAAUUACUGGGCGCAAAGCGUGCGCAGGCGGUUUUGUAAGACAGUGGUGAAAUCCCCGGGCUCAACCUGGGAACUGCCAUUGUGACUGCAAGGCUGGAGUGCGGCAGAGGGGGAUGGAAUUCCGCGUGUAGCAGUGAAAUGCGUAGAUAUGCGGAGGAACACCGAUGGCGAAGGCAAUCCCCUGGGCCUGCACUGACGCUCAUGCACGAAAGCGUGGGGAGCAAACAGGAUUAGAUACCCUGGUAGUCCACGCCCUAAACGAUGUCAACUGGUUGUUGGGGAUUUAUUUUCUCAGUAACGAAGCUAACGCGUGAAGUUGACCGCCUGGGGAGUACGGCCGCAAGGUUAAAACUCAAAUGAAUUGACGGGG
rnacentral:rRNA from 1 species